GGCAAGGUGGCCGAGUGGUUAAGGCGAUAGACUCGAAUCACCCCCAGUUCUCUGGGUAACUUCGGCUAUCUAUUGGGUUCGCCCGCGUAGGUUCAAAUCCUGCCCUUGUCG
rnacentral:tRNA from 1 species